ACUCCUGCGGGAGGCAGCAGUGGGGAAUUUUGGACAGUGGGCGAAAGCCUGAUCCAGCAAUGCCGCGUGAGUGAAGAAGGCCUUCGGGUUGUAAAGCUCUUUUGUCAGGGAAGAAACGGUGAAAGCUAAUAUCUUUUGCUAAUGACGGUACCUGAAGAAUAAGCACCGGCUAACUACGUGCCAGCAGCCGCGGUAAUACGUAGGGUGCAAGCGUUAAUCGGAAUUACUGGGCGUAAAGCGUGCGCAGGCGGUUUUGUAAGUCUGAUGUGAAAUCCCCGGGCUCAACCUGGGAAUUGCAUUGGAGACUGCAAGGCUAGAAUCUGGCAGAGGGGGGUAGAAUUCCACGUGUAGCAGUGAAAUGCGUAGAUAUGUGGAGGAACACCGAUGGCGAAGGCAGCCCCCUGGGUCAAGAUUGACGCUCAUGCACGAAAGCGUGGGGAGCAAACAGGAUUAGAAACCCCAGUAGUCCUAUG
rnacentral:rRNA from 1 species